rnacentral:rRNA from 1 species
GAAUAUUGGACAAUGGGGGGAACCCUGAUCCAGCCAUGCCGCGUGUGCGAUGAAGGCCUUUUGGUUGUAAAGCACUUUAACCGUGGAGGAGGCUACUCUAGUUAAUACCUCGCGAUAGUGGACGUUACUCGCAGAAUAAGCACCGGCUAACUCUGUGCCAGCAGCCGCGGUAAUACAGAGGGUGCAAGCGUUAAUCGGAGUUACUGGGCGUAAAGCGCGCGUAGGUGGCCAAUUAAGUCAAAUGUGAAAUCCCCGAGCUUAACUUGGGAAUUGCAUUCGAUACUGGUUGGCUAGAGUAUGGGAGAGGAUGGUAGAAUUCCAGGUGUAGCGGUGAAAUGCGUAGAGAUCAGGAGGAAUACCGAUGGCGAAGGCAGCCAUCUGGCCUAAUACUGACACUGAGGUGCGAAAGCAUGGGGAGCAAACA